UACGUAGGGCGCAAGCGUUGUCCGGAAUUAUUGGGCGUAAAGAGCUCGUAGGCGGUUUGUCGCGUCUGCUGUGAAAACCUAAGGCUCAACCUUGGGCUUGCAGUGGGUACGGGCAGACUAGAGUGCGGGUAGGGGUGACUGGAAUUCCUGGUGUAGCGGUGGAAUGCGCAGAUAUCAGGAGGAACACCGAUGGCGAAGGCAGGUCACUGGGCCGCAACUG
rnacentral:rRNA from 1 species